UUCAAUGGCGGGCCGGGGCGGGGACACCUUCGGGUGUGCCGGUUUCCUAUUGACCGGUCGGCCAACCCCGCCUUCGGUCCGCCGCCCGU
rnacentral:antisense_RNA from 1 species